GACGAACGCUGGCGGCGUGCUUAACACAUGCAAGUCGAGCGGUAAGGCCCUUUCGGGGGUACACGAGCGGCGAACGGGUGAGUAACACGUGGGUGACCUGCCCUCAGCCCUGGGAUAAGCCUGGGAAACCGGGUCUAAUACCGGAUAUGACUCCAUGACGCAUGUUGUGGGGUGGAAAGCCUUGUGCGGCUGAGGAUGGGCCCGCGGCCUAUCAGCUUGCUGGUGGGGUGAUGGCCUACCAAGGCGACGACGGGUAGCCGGCCCGAGAGGCGACCGGCCACACUGGGACUGAGACACGGCCCAGACUCCUACGGGAGGCAGCAGUGGGGAAUCUUGCGCAAUGGGCGAAAGCCUGACGCAGCGACGCCGCGUGAGGGAUGACGGCCUGG
rnacentral:rRNA from 1 species